GGUUUAUGGUGUACGGAUUUGUAAGAAAUUGGUUUAGGGUUUUAGUGUUUAGGGGUUACUCAGAAAUUGGGUUUGGGUUUAUGGGUUUCUAUGAACUGGGUAAUAACUGACACCCACUCUCACUCGCUCGCAGGCACUGUUCACAGAAAUCAAACUCUUUAUUUUGUCACAGAACGUUUGGGCUUCGUUCAGCUUUGUCUGGGCAAUAUGCAAGGAUAGCCGCAUUGGUCCUGGAGCGGCAACUACUGAAAUUGAGUUAGCUAAGAGAGUAAAGGAAUUCUCUUUUACAGAAACAUGAUUGGAUCAGUAUGCUAUAGCAAAAUUUGCCGAAAGCUUUGAGAUGGUGCCUAAAACGCUAGCUGAAAAUGCUGGGCUUAAUGCAAUGGAGAUCAUAUCUUCUCUAUAUGCUAAACAUGCAUCAGGAAAUACCAAAGUGGGCCUCGA